rnacentral:rRNA from 1 species
UACGGAAGGCAGCAGUGGGGAAUAUUGCACAAUGGGCGAAAGCCUGAUGCAGCUAUGCCGCGUGUAUGAAGAAGGCCUUAGGGUUGUAAAGUACUUUCAUCGGGGAGGAAAAAACAAAACUAAUAAUUUUAUUUCUUGACGUUACCCGAAAAAGAAGCACCGGCUAACUCCGUGCCAGCAGCCGCGGUAAUACAGAGGGUGCUAGCGUUAAUCAGAAUUACUGGGCGUAAAGAGCACGUAGGUGGUUUUUUUAAGUCAGAUGUGAAAUCCCUGGGCUUAACCUAGGAACUGCAUUUUGAAACUGAAAUACUAGAGUAUCGUAGAGGGAGGUAGAAUUCUAGGUGUAGCGGUGAAAUGCGUAGAUAUCUGGAGGAAUACCUGUGGCGAAAGCGGGCCUCCUAAACGAAUACUGACACUGAGGUGCGAAAGCGUGGGGAGCAAACAGGGAUUAGAUACC